UACGUAGGUGGCAAGCGUUGUCCGGAAUUAUUGGGCGUAAAGCGCGCGCAGGCGGUUCCUUAAGUCUGUCGUGAAAGCCCCGGGCUCAACCUGGGAAUGGCGAUGGAUACUGGCGGGCUAGAGUGCGGUAGAGGAGAGUGGAAUUCCCGGUGUAGCAGUGAAAUGCGUAGAGAUCGGGAGGAACAUCAGUUGCGAAGGCGGCUCUCUGGACCAGCACUGACACUGAGGCACGAAAGCGUGGGGAGCAAACAGG
rnacentral:rRNA from 1 species